UUCUAAUGACAAACUUGGAAAUAAUUGUCAUUGUUCUCUAAAAAGAACAGUCUAAAAAUAAAGCAGCAGCCCAUUUACUUCUAUGCCAGUUCUUUUAGUAUUUGGUUAUUUAAACUGGUGGUCCCUAACCUUGUUGGCACCAGGGACUGGUUUCAUGGAAGACACUUUUUCCACGGACAAGUGUGGGGAUGGUGGGGAUGGUUUGGAGAUGAAACGGUUCCAGCUCAGAUGAGCAGCAUUAGAUUCUCAUAAGCGGCGCAUAACCUAGAUCCUUCGCAUGCGCAGUUCACAACAGGGUUCCACUCCUAUGAGAAUCUAAUGCCACCACUGAUCUGACAGGAGGCGGAGCUCACACAGUAAUGCUUGGACAGGAGGCGGAGCUCACACAGUAAUGCUUGGACAGGAGGCGGAGCUCACACAGUAAUGCUUGGACAGGAGGCGGAGCUCACACAGUAAUGUUGUGACUGGAGGUGGAGCUCACACAGUUAAUGCUUGGAGAGGAGGCGGAGCUCACACAGUAAUGCUGUGACAGGAGGCAGAGCUCACACAGUAAUGAUAUGACAGGAGGCGGCGCUCACACAGUAAUGCUCUGGUGGGAGGCAGAGCUCAGAGAGUAAUGCUCUGGCAGGAGGCGGAGCCCACAGAGUAAUGCUCUGGCAGGGGGCGGAGCUCACAGUAAUGCUGUGACUGGAGGCGGAGCUCACAGAGUAAUGCUCUGGCAGGGGGCGGAGCCCACAGAGUAAUGCUCUGGCAGGGGGUGGAGCUAACAGAGUAAUGCUCUGGCAGGGGGUGGAGCUCACCCAGUAAUGCUCUGGCAGGGGUUGGAGUUCACACAGUAAUGCUCUGGCAGGAGGCGGAGCUCACAGUAAUGCUGUGACUGGAGGCGGAGCUCACAGAGUAAUGCUCUGGCAGGGGGCGGAGCUCACAGUAAUGCUGUGACUGGAGGCGGAGCUCACAGAGUAAUGCUCCGGCAGGAGGCGGAGCCCACAGAGUAAUGCUCUUGCAGGGGGCGGAGCUCAGAGUAAUGCUCUGGCAGGGGCGGAGCUCAGAGAGUAAUGCUCUGGCAGGGGUUGGAAUUCACACAGUAAUGCUCUGGCAGGGGGUGGAGCUCACCCAGUAAUGCUCUGGCAGGGGUUGGAGCUCACAAGGUAAUGCUCUGGCAUGGGCGGAGCUCACACAGUAAUGCUCUGACGGGAGGCGGAGCUCACACAGUAAUGCUCUGGCGGGAGGCGGAGCUCACACAGUAAUGCUCUGGCAGGGGGCGGAGCACACACAGUAAUGCUCUGACAGGGCGGAGCUCACACAGUAAUGCUCUGCAGGGGGCAGAGCUCACAGAGUAAUGCUCUGGCAGGGGGUGGAGUUCACACAGUAGCUCACCGGCCCACUGCUCACCUCCUACUGUGCGGCCUGGCUCCUAACAGGCCAUGGACUGGUAACAAUCUGUGGCCUGGGGAUUGGGGACCCCUGAUUUGAAUAAUCGAGGACACACUCACCUAGUAAACCAUCUGCCAAGAAAAAGGAGGAAAUGUUCGUUUUCUCCAUUUGCUCUCAGGCACCAACAUUAAUUUGAACUUAGAAAUAAACUACAACAAAGCCAGGCAUGGUGGUUCACACCUAUAAUUCCAGCACUUUGGGAGGCCAAGGAGGGAGGAUCACUUGAGCCCAGGAGUCUGAGACCAGCUUAGGCAACACAGUGAGACCCUGUCCCUACAAUUACAAAAUAAACUAGCUGGGCGUGGUGGUGCACACCUGUAGCCCCAACUACUCAGAAGGCUGAGUUGGGAAGAUCACCUGAGCUGCCCAGGAGUCUGAGGCUGCAGUGAGCUGAGAUUGUACCACUGCACCAAUCCUG
rnacentral:lncRNA from 10 species